rnacentral:rRNA from 1 species
GCCUACGGGAGGCAGCAGUGGGGAAUAUUGGACAAUGGGGGAAACCCUGAUCCAGCGACGCCGCGUGAGUGAAGAAGUAUUUCGGUACGUAGAGCUCUAUCAGCAGGAAAGAAAAUGACGGUACCUGACUAAGAAGCCCCGGCUAACUACGUGCCAGCAGCCGCGGUAAUACGUAGGGUGCAAGCGUUAUCCGGAUUUACUGGGUGUAAAGGGCGAGUAGACGGCGUUGCAAGUCAGAUGUGAAAGGCUAGGGCUCAACCUUAGGAGAGCAUCUGAAACUGUAAUGCUAGAGUGCAGGAGAGGUA